rnacentral:rRNA from 1 species
GUGGGCCCUCGAAAUCCUGUGGCGGGAGGAUUCAGUCUCGCUCGGGGGACGUCGAGUCGGAGAUUCCAAAAAAGGUUCCGCGGAGGCGGCCGCUCCGAUUCGACGAUUUCUCCGUGCAGGACGCAUUUGUUCCCGUCCGAAGGACCCCGCAACCGGUUCGGAAACGGCCUUGAGGGCGAGCGAUGGCAGUUGGCCGGUGGCUCACGCACGUGGGUCGUCGGCUGUUAGCCGGUUCUCGUCUUGCACGGCUCGUGGCCGGACCGUGGUGUCGCAAGGCCUAUCUUAGGCCUGCUUCGCCUCCUCCGUUCGCGGACGCCGGGAUCCCGUGGCAGGGGUUCGCACUUCUGCGGGCGCACGGACAGUCUCCGUGGCCCAGCGGUCGCGAUGCGUCCUCGUUGGCUGCGGCUGAACCCGUCGGAGGUUGGCGGUGCGCGGGGAGUAGAUCGGUCACCCACCC